rnacentral:rRNA from 1 species
CCUACGGGUGGCAGCAGUGAGGAAUAUUGGUCAAUGGACGAGAGUCUGAACCAGCCAAGUAGCGUGCAGGCUGACUGCCCUAUGGGUUGUAAACUUCUUUUAUAUGGGAAUAAAAUGUUCCACGUGUGGGAUUUUGUAUGUACCAUAUGAAUAAGGAUCUGCUAACUCCGUUCCAGCAGCCGCGGUAAUACGGAGUAUCCGAGCUUUAUCCGGAUUUAUUUGGUUUAAAGGGAGCGUAGGUGGAUUGUUAAGUCAGUUGUGAAAGUUUUCGGCUCAACCGUAAAAUUGAAGUUGAAACUGGCAGUCUUGAGUACAGUAGAGGUGGGCGGAAGUCGUGGUGUAGAGGUGAAAUGCUUAGAGAUCACGAAGAACUCCGAUUGCGAAGGCAGUUCACUGGACUGCAACUGACACUGAGGCUCGAAAGUGUGGGUAUCAAACAGGAUUAGAUACCCGGGUAGUC